CUUCACUGAAAAAGUGACUUUUUUUCUCCAUUUCUUUGUAUUUCUUCAAACAGUUGCACCGACAGUUUUUCUUGAUCAUCUACCUCGGAGAUGUCAUAAAGCUCUGAAAGAAUUGUUAAGGGUACAGAGCCGUCAAUUUCAACAUGAGGGAUUGCAAAGCGUAUAAUCAACAGUUAAUCUCAACAAAUUGGUAUCAGAGCACUGGUAAGAUGGCCAGUUCGAGUGGCACAGUAAGUCUUUUUUUGAAAACCUUGUAGGUAGAAAAAUCAGCUGAAGGAUCGUGCGGCAUGAACCAUUUGGUUUAUAUAUGUUGCAGAUGAAAUCAUGUAUCGUAUUUUGACCUUGGCAAUCCAAAAAGAAAAUUGGAUAAAUUGAAGUGUUUGUUCAUGGAAAAUUUUUUAUGAACAACUCUAUCUAAGACUUUAUAGGCUUAUGAUGUAGGAGGGUUCAGACUUGGUAUAUCAUAUUAAUUAAUUUCUUUAGUCAAAUAAUCUCAAGUUUUACUAUACGUGAUGUCAAAGAUUGAAGAGGGUAAGACGAUGAUCUUGUUAUGUUCCCUGUCUUUUUUCUUUCAACAUUUGCUUGUUAUUCUUACGUAUGGAAAAGUCACGAUUAAAUUUAAUGAGAUCUUCGUAGCCCUAUUGACUUGUAA